AGGCACGUGGUAAGAAGAGACAGAUUGGAUGGUUUCCUGCAAAUUAUGUUAAACUUUUAAGCCCUGGUACAAAUAAAAGCACACCAACUGAGCCACCGAAACCUGCAGCAUUGCCACCUACGUGUCAAGUUAUCGGCAUGUAUGAUUAUAUUGCACAAAACGAUGAUGAACUGGCCUUUGCCAAAGGUCAGAUAAUCAACGUGUUGAACAAAGAUGAUCCAGAUUGGUGGAAAGGGGAAUUGAAUGGUCAAGUGGGUCUAUUCCCUUCAAACUAUGUGAAGCUGACCACAGAUAUGGAUCCCAGUCAACAAUGAUCAUAUGUUGUCCAUCCCCCUACUCAGGCUUGAAAGUCCUCAAAGAGACCCACUAUCCCCAUAUCACUGCCCAGAGGGAUGAUGGGAGAUGCAGCCUUGAUCAUGUGACUUCCAGCAUGAUCAUCUACUGCCUUCUGACUAGAAGAACACUGCACAGCAGUUUACCUCAUUUUUCAUUUAGAUGCAUGUGACUAUAUUGUUGUAUCUGCAGAUCCAGAAACAAAAUUUAGAGUACAGAGGAUAGUGGGUCCUUUUGUGGCUUUCUCUUCUCUGGCAAACAGUAUUUCACCCUUUCGAACAAAUUGUUUACUUAUUUAAUCUUUCUUGUUUUUUUGUUUUUUUUAAUUUUGAAGAAAAAAAAUACAAAUUAGACUUCAAAAUAGCAGCUAAACAAGGUUAUUUGAUUUUUGUUUCUGCAAAAAGACCCACUAUCAAGGAAUGCUGCAUGUGCUAAUAAUUUGUCCACAAAUCUGAAAUGUUUAUUUUUUUAUUCCACCUGUUCAAUGUUGUGUGUGUGUGUAUAUAUAUAUAUAUAUAUAUAUAUAUAUAUAUAUAUAUAUAUAUAUAUGUAUGUAUAUGUGUAUAUAUAUAUAUAUAUAUAUAUAUAUAUAUUUAUAUAUAUAUAUAAUUUCACACAGAUUUAUGAGGAGGCAAUGAUAGGAAGAUCAGGUGCAGUCCAAUUAUAAAGGCAUUAGAUAUCAUUAAGGUUUGUUCUAGAUGGUCUUUGUAAAGACAUUAGUACAUUUUUGUAUGCAGAAGAAAAAUUCCUGUGCAAUGUUUGCUGUCCGUUAAUACUUUUAGUGCCUGAUGAUAUUUCUGGCUUUAAAGGUGUUUUUAUUUUGCACAUAGUUGCAUACUUGCAUCCCUGUUUUGUACUGUCAUAUAUAUAUAUAUAUUUUUUUUACAUUUACCAGAGAUAAAUUCUCCAUUGUAGACUAUACAUUCAUCUGCAAAACGUAGUUUAGCUUCCCCAACCCUUGCACAGUAAAAGGGUAUAUUUGUUUAUUUCUUGUAACUGUCAUGACAAAGAAUGUAUACACUAUUUUUAACCUGGAAAUUAAUUGCAAUGUUUACAUCUUUUUAUUAUUAUUAUUUUAUCUAGACUGUGGAAUUUUUAUCAUUUUAUUAUUCACUGGGGAUAGUGUUAUAAUAUGCAGUAGACUUCAUAAUGAAUUCUUGAAAUACUAGCAUCUGCUCUUACUAAAAUGCCUUGUGUAGAAAAGCCAAAAAAAGAAAAAAAAAAAAGAAAAAUGGAAUAUAGCCAACACAGUGUACUACAUUUUACUAUUAAUCGUAAAAUAUGUCUCAUUCUGUAUUUAUCCAACUCAUUUUUACUUGUGCUGAAAGUGUCUAAAAAAAUAAAUAAAUAAAUUUAAAAAAAAAAUAUCCUCCCCCAUCUUUUCAGUGCAAAGCAAAUGACGCUCCCUGUUCAAUUGCACUUCAGUAUUUUCAUGGAUAUGAAUGUAAAAUAUAUAAAUAUAUAAAACGUACAGCUUUAACACCUGUAAUACAGCCUUUACAGUCAGUUCCAUGUAUAGAUAAUUAAAUUCUUCUUAUAAAACCUAAA